GGACACCGGGCGCGGGGUGAGGCUUACUCGGGCUUUUAGGUAUCCACGGGGUAACCCUCCUUUGGGCCUGUCACGCCCCGCCCUACUCCGCUCCGGAAGGACUUCAGGCGGCCCACCUUGAGUGCCAGAAGCGGGUUAGGGAGAAGCCACCGUGAAUCCCUGCCGCCCGCAAACAUCAGAUCCAACUCAGAGCCUGGCCCCUUCCACGGCUUCCAACUUGGUUCUCCGUCCCUCUGUUCACAGCCCUAGGUCCAGCCAGACUGGUUGCCUUGCUCUUCCCCACAUGUAACACCGUCCUAGGCACCACAGUGUAGAGAAGACCAGGAAAGGAAGAUUGUACACCAGACUAUGAAUCUGUUCUUUGUGGCUCACAUCCUCGAAGAAAGAAGAUCCUAAAUUCAGUGCUUGACUUGUAAAGCUGCUCUGCAUGCUUUUGCCUCUGAAUUUCCUUCUUUUUUAGGCAUU